AAUCCCCAACCAUAAUGGCUUGCCAAUGGCGACGGCGGUGUAGAUCUUGUACCUAGAUGGGCGACCUUGGCUACUCGAGGAAGCUUUCCAUCUCUGCCCCUAGAUGUACCUAGCUGGACGGCCUUGGCUAUUGGAGGAAUCUUGAUCGUCUCGUCGCCGGUGGUCGGGCUGCCCGGGCGGACCUCUCCUCUGCUGCGCCGCGACGCUGGCCGAGCCAAUCUCCAGGUACAGUUCCCCAAACGCCAAGGACAACCUCGAUCUACCAUUUGUCUUACCCCAUUGCAAUCGACAAGAUCUGCGGGUACUGUAUUCGGCGGCUGGUACUGCUCUAGUGCUACAGAUUUGCAGGCAUCAUUGCCACUGCAACAAACUGAACUCCCUGUAUCUAUGUCUCAGUAGCUUAACUCAACAAGGCUCCCCUCCCAGAUUUGUCACAUAAGAAUCAGCCAGAUAACCCUUUUUCUUGUUCAAUUGUACUAGUAGAAGGCACCACGUGCAAUUCAUGAUUUCUACCCUCGCUUACUCUUUAUUUGAAAAGAUAUGGCUUAUUCAGACGCUGCCAACGUUGCAUACUACAAUUCUUUUCAGUGAUAUAAAUUCCUGUUGAAGAUGUACACAACUUUAUUGUCCAAUCCGUUGGAAGUUCAGUGUAGAUAUGUUUUUUUUGCGGUGCCGAUGCGAUUGAUUUGCUAAAGUACUGGUUGUUUACCCGCUGAUUUGUGAGGGUUAAUUAUAGUCCGAUCCUCCAAUCAUUGAGAGCAGUGAAGUUCAGAAUAGCCACAACAGAUUUUAAAUAGCACACUUUUGCACAAGAACAAACCCAUUGAUAUUGUGAGUGAGAGCAUUUGGAGCCGCGAGGAUUCCAGAAAGGUCGCACAGUUGUUUUGGCACGUGUCCGUACAGAGUGAAUCCGAGUGAAUCCCAUAAAUGUUAGCUGUUGGAUCACUUGGGUUGCGUACUGGCGGACGAUGGAUAUUCAUCGUCUGGAACAAACCAAUGGCGUAUAAUUGCUCACGAGUCUUGGUAGAUAGCUAAAUCACAAGAGUAUUUUCUGGAGACCCCUUGCACAUGUGAUGGAAUGUAGAUGAAAAGAGCAUCAAAACUAAUAGACUGGAGUAUCAUUUUUGCGAAUAAAAGAUCAUUCAAUGGGUAACUAUCUUCCAAUUGGAUAUAUAGGUGUUUUUUCUUAUUCCCAGUCAGCUUGCUAUAUUUUGCUUGGACUAGAUUUUCGACCAAGUUGAUAUUGUGAAACUUCGUUAACUUGCUGGAACUGUACAUGAGAACGAACUAAUCUCAUCUACCUAUUAAAGUACUUGGAAGUUAAGUGCUUGUCAACACAAGACUGGAAUUUAUUGCACUUGCAAUAUGUACCACUUUACUGGUUUUUGAGAGUUUACAAUCUAUUUGUCCAGUAAUGGCACUGAAACCAAAAAUCAUUCUAGUUUCGCUAUAGUGAAACUAUUGUGUUGGCUCUUUCCUCUUCCUCAUUCAGUUGUAAUAACACACUGGUUGUAAAAAGUACCGCACCUUUGUUACCUUUUAUAUGUAAAAAUAAGUCUGCUUGUGUGCAUCUCUUUAAUUUGCAACCUUAACUUUGCAGUCUUGUAAUUGGGCAGAUGUCUUAUUUUGUUAUAUCAAGGUGACUAAACAAUCAGCUAUUUGGAUUUUGGAGCAGAACACAAUGUCUGGUUUGGGUAUGCUGGAUAGAUCACAGCUCGUCGACUACUAAGCUCGCCCCCGCUGUUCUGUUGGUGCAUCUCAAUCUGAAAUUGAGGGAAGUAGUGCGAUGUCACCUUUAGGAGGGCCCAUAGUUCCAAAAAUCGCAAACUGUGUACCAACACUAUCAGGUGAGAACACACGGUCCAAAAAGGCCAAUGCUAUUCAUAAAAUUUCAUUUAAAUUUCUUUUGUGAUGCUCAAAUGCUAGUCAUAGGGCUCCAUUUUAAAAAAUUCUUUGUUUACACUAUUAAUCCACAUUAUAAAAUAGUCAUAAACUCCAUUUAAAAAAUUCAAAACCAUUUUGUUUCUCCUUACUAUGUAUGCUUUGUUAUGUGGAUGUAGGAAACUAUUAUGUUGUGUACUUCCUCCGUUUCUAAAUAUAAGCCCUUUUAGAGAUUUAAAUAUGCACUACAUACGGAUGUAUAUAGACAUAUUGAAAAUCUCUAAAAGGUCUUAUAUUUAGGUAUGGAGGGAGUACAUUGGAGUAAGAGUGAAAUGGGACCUCAUCAAACAUACCACUCUUCAUCGAACAUCCUGAUCAUGUGGCUGAGCUAGUUUGUUAGUACAAAUUGUCUGUUUUUUGCCCCUUACAUAAAUGAAUCACCCAUAAAUAGAUAUAAUGUUCGUUCUAGAUAGUAACAAUACCCAAAUGAUUUAGCUGGUUAUAUUGCAUUCGAAUAAUCUUUCCACUCACAUAUUCGAGAGAAUGUUGUAGGAAAUUUCAUCUCCCCCUAUGGCAAAAAUUAUACAUGAUCAAAUUGUUAUUGCAAGUUUAGUGAUGAUAUUAAGUAAAGUGUACAAAUUACAGUUCUCUUUCUGCUAAUGAAAUGGUAUUUUUACUCAUUAGAUUAGCUCAGGAGCAAAUAAUUUAAGUAUAGAUGUGUGAGACUUACACGGUUUUGUGCUCAAACUGAUUCAGACUUUGUUUGGUGUCAUCUUUCCAUCACAUAGACCUCGAUGAGCAAGAAGCACCAGCACCAAAGAUGCUCAUGUCCAAGUGGACAGGUUACGAGGAUAGAGCAAGUCUUGCUUGAUGCCAAAACCCCUGUAACUGAGUGGUAUUUCCACUCUGCUUUGCACUGAGUUUGUAUCAGAGUUGUAGAUCAUGGACCAAUCCUUGCUGAGAAUUGAAUCCAUAAUUAUGUAAUUCUGCAUAUGGUAGUUGUUAACCUGUUGUAUGCAUGUUUCUACUUAUUAAUUCUGCUUGUAAUAAGCAUAGAUUAUUGCCGGAUCUUGGUUGCUUCCCUUCCUGCCAUGCUUUUGCUAUUGGAAAGAAUUAUUGUGUUCCUGCUUAUAAGAGCUACUGUGUUUGGAUGAUGGCUAUUUUAAAAAAAUGGAUGAGGCAUGUUUCUACUUGAGUCACCUUUGUUCAUUUGGUUAAUGAUUUUGCCUGGGAUGAUCCAGUUUGACAUGUACUUGAAUGAGAU
rnacentral:lncRNA from 1 species